rnacentral:rRNA from 1 species
CUCGUAGGCGGUUCGUCGCGUCCGGUGUGAAAGUCCAUCGCUUAACGGUGGAUCCGCGCCGGGUACGGGCGGGCUUGAGUGCGGUAGGGGAGACUGGAAUUCCCGGUGUAACGGUGGAAUGUGUAGAUAUCGGGAAGAACACCAAUGGCGAAGGCAGGUCUCUGGGCCGUCACUGACGCUGAGGAGCGAAAGCGUGGGGAGCGAACG